AUCAUUAUUGAAUGUGCUAGAAAUAUUGUGUUGAUAUGGAAAUUUUGAGUCAUGACAUGGCUGGGAUACACUGCUGAAAGGAAUGACAUGUGCUGCUGAACAAUUUUGAGUCAUGACAUGUGUUGCUGAAAAAUUUGUCAGAAACAUGUUAUUUAAAUCCAUUUACACUAUUUAAAUAGUGCUGAUUUAGAACUAAAUUUACAUAUGCAGCGGUCAGGUUGCGUUGGCAGUUUAUUUGCUGUAAUAAAGACAUCAACAAGGUACAUUCCGGUAUGUUCCAACAGAGAUGUCUUGUCAGCAUGUGGAGGCUUUGUGCUCAACUUGGAAGGAUGAUGGGGCGACUGUCUUCUCUUGAGGCUGUGACAAGCAAGCUAAGAUGUGGUCCUUGGCUACUAACCAAAUAAUGAUUGUUGCUCUGCAUGAUGCCCCCAUUAGAGACAUGGCUGGGAUGCCCGAGUUGAACCUCUUAGUCACUAGGAGCUUGGACAAGACUGUAAAGGGCUUUCACAACAUUAUCUAAAAAAAAAUUCUUGUGGGAGAGAGGUGAAGUGUAUGUUAUAGUGUGCACAAGAAGAUGGGUUUGGCUCCAGUUUGAUGCAAGUUCCCUGAGAUUCUUGAUCUGGGCAUGAUUAAAUUUAGAUACUUGAUUUCAAUUUUGAUUUUAUUAGUUUGUUUUUACCGUCAUUUGCCUAUGUUUCAUUUGCUCAAGAAAGGAAGUUUAAGUUUUUUACUUCUGUUUGAUUUUUUUGGGUUUGGGUUUUGGUAUGAAACGGUAGUACGUAGUAGUGUAACUAAUUCAAAUAGUUUCAAUACAAUCUUGGACUAUAUGUUGAUUGCGGGAUAUAGGCAUAAUUGGGACCUGGUAAAUACUUGGACUACAUGCAAGAUAAAUAGCUCAUGU